rnacentral:rRNA from 1 species
UAUACGACCGUACCGCAAACCGACACUGGUGCGCGAGAUGAGUAUUCUAAGGCGCUUGAGAGAACUCAGGAGAAGGAACUCGGCAAAUUGACACCGUAACUUCGGAAGAAGGUGUGCCCUAUUAGUGUGUAGUGAACAACGAAGCAUGAAUGGGUUGCAAAAAAUCGGUGGCUGCGACUGUUUAUUAAAAACACAGCACUCUGCAAACACGAAAGUGGACGUAUAGGGUGUGACGCCUGCCCGGUGCUGGAAGAUUAAAUGAUGGGGUGCAAGCUCUUGAUUGAAGUCCCAGUAAACGGCGGCCGUAACGAUAACGGUCCUAAGGUAGCGAAAUUCCUUGUCGGGUAAGUUCCGACCUGCACGAAUGGCGUAACGAUGGCCACACUAUCUCCUCCUGAGACUCAGCGAAGUUGAAAUGUUUGUGAUGAUGCAAUCUCCCCGCGGAAAGACGGAAAGACCCCAUGAACCUUUACUGUAGCUUUGUAUUGGACUUUGAACAGAUCUGUGUAGGAUAGGUGGGAGGCUUUGAAGCAGGGUCGCUAGAUCUUGUGGAGCCAACGUUGAAAUACCACCCUGGUGUGUUUGAGGUUCUAACCUAGGUCCAUUAUCUGGAUCGGGGACAGUGCAUGGUAGGCAGUUUGACUGGGGCGGUCUCCUCCCAAAGCGUAACGGAGGAGUUCGAAGGUACGCUAGUUACGGUCGGACAUCGUGACGAUAGUGCAAUGGCAUAAGUGUGCUUAACUGCGAGACUGACAAGUCGAGCAGAUGCGAAAGCAGGACAUAGUGAUCCGGUGGUUCUGUAUGGAAGGGCCAUCGCUCAACGGAUAAAAGGUACUCUGGGGAUAACAGGCUGAUACCGCCCAAGAGUUCAUAUCGACGGCGGUGUUUGGCACCUCGAUGUCGGCUCAUCUCAUCCUGGGGCUGUAGCCGGUCCCAAGGGUAUGGCUGUUCGCCAUUUAAAGAGGUACGUGAGCUGGGUUUAAAACGUCGUGAGACAGUUUGGUCCCUAUCUUCCGUGGGCGCUGCAGAUUUGAGGAAGCCUGCUCCUAGUACGAGAGGACCGGAGUGGACACACCUCUGGUGUAUCGGUUGUCACGCCAGUGGCAUUGCCGAGUAGCUAAGUGUGGAAGAGAUAACCGCUGAAAGCAUCUAAGCGGGAAACUCGUUUCAAGAUGAGAUCUGCCGGGGCCUUGAGCCCCCUAAAGAGUCGUUCAAGACCAGGACGUUGAUAGGCCAGGUGUGAAGCC